AUUGAACGCUGGCGGCAGGCCUAACACAUGCAAGUCGAGCGGAUGAAGGGAGCUUGCUCCUGGAUUCAGCGGCGGACGGGUGAGUAAUGCCUAGGAAUCUGCCUGGUAGUGGGGGAUAACGUCCGGAAACGGGCGCUAAUACCGCAUACGUCCUGAGGGAGAAAGUGGGGGAUCUUCGGACCUCACGCUAUCAGAUGAGCCUAGGUCGGAUUAGCUAGUUGGUGGGGUAAAGGCCUACCAAGGCGACGAUCCGUAACUGGUCUGAGAGGAUGAUCAGUCACACUGGAACUGAGACACGGUCCAGACUCCCACGGGAGGCAGCAGUGGGGAAUAUUGGACCAUUGGCGAAAGCCUGAUCCAGCCAUGCCGCGUGUGUGAAGAAGGUCUUCGGAUUGUAAAGCACUUUAAGUUGGGAGGAAGGGCAGUAAGUUAAUACCUUGCUGUUUUGACGUUACCAACAGAAUAAGCACCGGCUAACUUCGUG
rnacentral:rRNA from 1 species